AAUAAAAAGUUGCCAAGAUUAGAUUUAACUGAACUGAUUACGGUAGUUUCCAAACGGAAACUGUAACAGUAAAAGUUCUGAUCCUUCGUGUUGCUACUAGCAUGAGCUAAACGAUCAAGCAGAGUCUCUGUAAAUCUCAGCUGGUUAAUGAGACACAACAUUUAAUUUUCCCCUGAGAUUCAUACAUAAUUUGUGAACAGAGUUAAUAUCUAACAUGUUGUUCUUCCAUAUAAAAUCAUUUCCCUUCAUGUCCAGCUGGUCAGUAGAAAUGGACUCAGCCUCCAUGUUGGUCCUGCAGCAGGUUGGAGUCAGAGCUCUGACAUCACAGUCACUGCCCUGCAGCGUUGAGGCAUUUCCUGCUUCAGUCACAUGAUUUCAGCUGAUGGCUGAUUAACAGAGUUGAGCUGAAUGAUGGGUUGAAGCAGAUCUAAAACAUGCAGCAAAUGUGGCUUUCUGCCCAGGGCGGCACCACGAGCAAAAAACAGAACUGCCGUCAGGGAGACGGCGCCCCCUUGUGGUGUGAACACCGUAAUGAAGUAUGGAGAGUGGCAGACAAAUUCAACGGGACUAAAACAACUUUCUGCUCCUUCUGAUUGGACUAAUAAUUUAAUCUUUGUCUAUAAUAUUGAGUUUAAAUUGUUCACUAAUUUUUUUUUUUCUAAUAAUAAACCAAAACACCAAACAGAGUUUCUGGUUCAGUUAAAACUCAGUCAGACUCUGUUGGUCCAGUUUGGUGAUUUUACUGAUUCAUCAUCAACAGAAACUUUAUGAGGUGAGAUUUUACUACCCCUCAACAACAGCGCCCCCUGUGGUCCAGGUUGAAAUCAGCCUGAUGCUCCAGUGACCUGAACUUUAAAGGUUUUUAAUACUUUAUAUUUUACUUCAGUGACAAACUGAGUUCCUCUGCUGCUGUAGCGGCUCGUAAACCCACAUCAGUGGUUUCCUGUCUGACUGUCUGUCUCUCUCAUCUUUAUGGAAAAAGUUUGACCCACUUUUCUUCAAUGUCAAGGUCUGAACUUUGACUAGACCAUUAAAUCCCUGUGUUUCUUUCCUCUUUUAGCCAUUUUGUUGUGGGUUUCCUGCUGUGUUUGGGAUUUUUGUCCUGCUGAUGACCCAGUUUGCACCAGGCUUGAGCUGUUAGAAAGAUUAUUGUUAUGAUUUAACCAGGAAAAUCCAUCCAGACUUAAAGUCUCAUGUCUUUAUCAGUGUUCUGAACAAAAACAACCUUAAAAUUUAUAAUCUGGGAUCAACCCCUGGAUGUUGCCACUGGCGGAAACGACAAAGAGGAUGACAGGAAGUAGUUGAAACUGCAUGUUGUUAAUGCCUU